UACGUAGGUCCCGAGCGUUGUCCGGAUUUAUUGGGCGUAAAGCGAGCGCAGGUGGUUUAUUAAGUCUGGUGUAAAAGGCAGUGGCUCAACCAUUGUAUGCAUUGGAAACUGGUAGACUUGAGUGCAGGAGAGGAGAGUGGAAUUCCAUGUGUAGCGGUGAAAUGCGUAGAUAUAUGGAGGAACACCGGUGGCGAAAGCGGCUCUCUGGCCUGUGACUGACACUGAGGCUCGAAAGCGUGGGGAGCAAACAGG
rnacentral:rRNA from 2 species